rnacentral:rRNA from 1 species
GAUGAACGCUAGCUACAGGCUUAACACAUGCAAGUCGAGGGGCAGCAUGGUCUUAGCUUGCUAAGGCCGAUGGCGACCGGCGCACGGGUGAGUAACACGUAUCCAACCUGCCGUCUACUCUUGGACAGCCUUCUGAAAGGAAGAUUAAUACAAGAUGGCAUCAUGAGUUCACAUGUUCACAUGAUUAAAGGUAUUCCGGUAGACGAUGGGGAUGCGUUCCAUUAGAUAGUAGGCGGGGUAACGGCCCACCUAGUCUUCGAUGGAUAGGGGUUCUGAGAGGAAGGUCCCCCACAUUGGAACUGAGACACGGUCCAAACUCCUACGGGAGGCAGCAGUGAGGAAUAUUGGUCAAUGGGCGAGAGCCUGAACCAGCCAAGUAGCGUGAAGGAUGACUGCCCUAUGGGUUGUAAACUUCUUUUAGAAAGGAAUAAAGUCGGGUAUGUAUACCCGUUUGCAUGUACUUUAUGAAUAAGGAUCGGCUAACUCCGUG